UCUAAUAUUCAUCCGCUGCGCAUUAAAAAUAUGGGCUAUUGGGUUAUUUAGGCGGGAAUUGCAGUUCAGUCGAAUUGUGUUCUCUGUGAAGGUUGUUGUUGCUUCAAUGUCAGUCGUAAAAGAUACAAGAUAUUUGGUAGUUGAGUUCCCUAAAGGGCCUAAGGAAACAACGCCCGCAGUGGAAACCGUUCCAGCAAGCUGGGUUAACGAACAGGAAUUGAUAUCUAAAUGGCCUAAUGGGAAACCUAACGAAGUAUCCAAAGCCAUUAACGAGAUGUAUACCCCUCAGAGUACAUGGAGCUCUUAUAGAUUGUCAAGAAUUCUGUAUAGAUGUGAUAAUUUAUUAACAGCAAAACAAAGAGCAAAAGAUGCUGAAUUAAAUUCAGUAAGCGAAUCAAGCCAUUCGGAUGAGCUUCGACAUAAAAGAAGAAAAAGGAG